UGGAGCUUUGGGGGUUUAUAAGGAAAUGUGCCGGGCAUGUUGGAGGAACAGAAAGAGGAGAAUGAUGCACUGCCUCCAAUCUGAUAGCUUUCUAAGGGAUUUUCAGUGAUCAUUUUUGCAUGGUGUUUCUUGCCUUAAAUAUUGUCCUUAGAAUCUAAUUCCAGUAAAAUGUGAGUUCACAUAACUAGGUGGGAGGCCACUUUGAAUAGGGUAUUCAGAAAAGGCCUUCCUGAGAAGGCAACAUUGAAGGUGAGCCCUUUAUGGCGAGAAUGAGUCAGCCCUGGAGAAGCUGGAAGAAGAGCUGCUUAGGCUGAGGGAACAGCCAGGGCAAAGGCCUGGAGGCAGGAAAGAACUCGGUAAAUGUGGGGAACCAAAAAGAGGCCAAUAGACUGGAGAGAGAAGAGCGGCGUGAGAUGAGGUUGGAGAGGUGGGCAGAGGUCUCAGGCCAUUUAGCUUUUAUUGGCAUCACGAUGGGACUCAACUGAAGGAUUUCCAGCAGAGGACUGACAAGAAUGGAUUCAUGUUUCAAAAAGAUACCUGCCUGCUAGGAGGCUGUAUCGGAUAAUUUUGCUGGUUGAAUUCACAUGGGCUUAGCUGCUCAUCACAGAGGUGCCAGGAAGAGGAUUUAAAACGGAGUGAAGGAUUGAGUGGGAACUCCCAGCCUGUUGCCUCCCCUAUGGACCUUUACAGCUGGAAUGAGCUGGCUUGGGCAGGUCCUGUCAUGCGUCUGCUCCAAAGGCACACAGGCUCCAGUGAGAAAUACGUUCAAACUCCAUACCAGCUGCUGUCACUUUAAAAAGCUACAGAGGACUCUCCCCAGUGAACCUGCUUCAGGCAAGGUGAGAAGGAGACCAAGGGAGACCCCAAGGACACCCCCAUACCUGGCUGACCAGGCCCUUUGCGCUGCAGAGGAGGCAGAC